rnacentral:rRNA from 1 species
GGGGGGUCAGUGCGAACGGGUGAUAACACGUGAGUAACCUGCCCCCUCACUUCUGGAUAACCGCCUGAAAGGGUGGCUAAUACGGGGUGUUCUGGCUGUGCCGCAUGGUGUGGCUGGGAAAGAUUCACUUUUGUGGUGUUUUGGUGGGGGAUGGGCUCGCGGCCUAUCAGCUUGUUGGUGGGGUGAUGGCCUGCCAAGGCUUUGACGGGUAGCCGGCCUGAGAGGGUGGGCGGUCACACUGGGACUGAGAUACGGCCCAGACUCCUGCGGGAGGCAGCAGUGGGGGGUAUUGCACAAUGGGCGGAAGCCUGAUGCAGCGACGUCGCGUGAGGGAUGGAGGCCUUCGGGUUGUGAACCUCUUUUCGCCGGUGAAGAAG